AGUUUUUGUAGAAAACCAUAGUAAUUGCAAAAUGAACUAUGGUUUACCACAGCAUUUGCAGAAGAACCAUUACAAAAUAACCCAUGGUUUUUCAACAGUAUUUACUACAGAUUUAGUUAUUUAUUACUAUUAAAAACAUAGGGCUCAAUAAAAUAAUCAUAAUUAAUCUCAUGAUUUCUGAAAAUGAAACAAUCAAAUUUGGCAAAUGUGUUGUCAGUUAUUAUAAAAAAUACACUCUUAAAAAAUGGUUCUUUGGCAGGGUGUAUGGUUCCAUGAAGAACCUUUAAUAUCCAAAAGAACCUAUAAUUGCACAAAAGGUUCUUUGUAGUACAAAAGGUUCUUUAGACUAUUUAAUGGUUCUUCACAAUCAACAUUUUGUAAUUUUAUUUUUUUCUGGAAAGUGAGAUCAAGUGAGCUAAAUAUUCCUAGCUGCCUGGUCCAGAACUCAUUCCAGACUCAUUUUCUUUUAGUUGUGUUCAAUUAAAGCUCAAUAAAGUAUUAAUUUUUAGUUAUAAAAAGUGUUGUGGUGUUUUUUUUAAUUAAAAAAGACCAGUAGAUCAGUCAUUUUAUACUUUUUACUCCUAUUUUAAUGCUGUUUUGCAUGACUCAAAAAAUGUAUUAGGCUAGUUAUUUAGCAAAAGCAAAGUUUAGUAUAAAAAAUCAUGUUUUAAAAUGAAAUAAAAAGGCUGAGUGAUACAAAUCUUAAUAUAUAUAUAUAUAUAUAUAUAUAUAUAUAUAUAUAUAUAUAUAUAUAUAUAUAUAUUUCUUUUUUUUUUUUAUCCCACUAUCAUACAUUUUGCACCAAUGUAUUGGUCGUAGAACUACAAAAUGAGUUUCAAAUUCGCGAUUUAAAGAAAGAUUUUAAGAGGUUUGUGAAUGACUGUGACGUGUUUAAAUGGGCGUGCCCGCUGAAUCUCAUUCAAAUGUUGCAGUGGAGGGAGUUGCCAUGGAAACGGUGAGCAACACUGUAACUGACGAACAGUAAAUCUCCGUCUCUCGCUGCUGUUUUCACUGCUUUCAGGUUUUUAGGGAGUUUAGUCCCUAAAAUCACACAAAUAUCACACACAACUGUUCCAGACACUUUCUUACAUGAAACUGACACGUUUCUGUUGAAUAUUUACUUCACAGAAAUGUUUUACAGUCUUCGAAAAAGUCCGCUAGCAUCUGUUUUCAGACGAGGAGUGAUAAUAUAAUCUUUCUACAAAGGAAGAGAAGCUCCAAGAUUUCAAAAGUUCUGACGGGAGCUGCUGACAGAAAUGCUGAAAACACAGGAUCCUAUGUACCCAGCCUCAACCGUUUAUCAGAAGGACAGUGAAAGCGGGAACUCUUUGAACCACCAGUGGCAGUUUCCAUGGGAUGAAAAAGGGCAUAGUAGUGGAUGAUGAGGUCCUGAGACCAUAUGGGGUGAGGAUCAAGACAACCAAACCAAAGGUGGACUGUAACCUACUGAACUAUAUGAUAGACUUCAUACUGACAACUACUGCCAUGUAUGCAGCAUCAAAUGUUUUUGAAAAAAAGGGCAUUUCCUUCACCAAGUAAAAGUGUGGAGGAUUCAUCUGGCCUUCAUCGGCCCCCAUGAGGUGAAGAAUAAAUCAGCUUGCUUUAGGCUUGAAAUGACUGAAAUCUUCUCAUGUGAGUUGAUAUCAUUUUAAACAUUCUUAAAAGUACUUCUCAUUUCUUGUGAAUGUAUUUUGUAGUACGUGUAAAACUUUUCCAAUGAAAGAACCUUUUUUACCUUUAUUGAUUUUGUAAUCAAGGUUGUUAAUGCUAUGGACUGCACACAUCUGCUUGUGUCGGGCUUGUGUUUACAGGUUGUGUAAAACUAGGCAUGGCUGCAACAACUAAUCGAUAAUGAAAAUAAUCAUCAACUAAUUUGAAUAGUGCAUCAAAACAAACAAACCGCUCAUAAUUCUGACUAAAAUACACAUUUUGCUCAAAUAUUUUUUUGUUAGAAAUUAAGUGUAGGUUUAAAACCCUACAUAUAACACAAGUAAUCAUAUUUAUGAGAGCAGUAACAGUAAAGGCACUAUUGCUGGAAUUGUCCAUUAAUAUAAUAUAAUAUAAUUACUCUGUUCAGACGAAUGAUUGUGUUUGUUCCUCGUACCUCUUACAAGUUAACAUUGUGUUUUUUGUUUAAAUUGUUUUAAAUUCUGUUUCAAAAUAACAAGCAAUCUGUUGUUUUUAGGUUUAGAAUGUAAUUUGUGUUUGUAUUUUAACACUUUAAUGCUUAUAAUGUACAGCAGAGCCUACAUAGAUACAUUCAUUAUAUUUGUUUUCAUAGGCAGGAUGUGAAAUGACAUUCUUUAAAAUAAUGGAUUAAAAUUUGUUUAAUUAAAAAAUAAUGUAUAUAUUUUAUUUUUUUAUUUUUUUGUCAUCCAAUUACUAAUAUUAAUAAAAAAAAUCUACAAAUAAAUUGAUUAUCAAAAAAAAUUGUUAGUUGCAUGCAGCCCUACAUAAGAUAUUGUUAAAGAGGUAGGCGGUAUAAUGUUGUGUGUGAACACUAAGUCAUGUUUAUUUGUGCAACAUGUAAUUAAUUUCUAUAGAGAUAAUGCAUUAUUACAGUGAAACAAUUUUUAUUUUGUAAAUUAGCAGAAAGCCAUCUCUACCUCUGCAGUGCUUUAUCACUAUUUUUU